UACGUAGGUGGCGAGCGUUGUCCGGAUUUACUGGGCGUAAAGAGCGCGCAGGCGGCGCGGUAAGUCAGUUGUGAAAUCUCCGGGCUUAACUCGGAAAGGUCAACUGAUACUGUGCGACUAGAGUGCAGAAGGGGCAACUGGAAUUCUCGGUGUAGCGGUGAAAUGCGUAGAUAUCAUUUGGAACGCCAAUGGUGAAAACAGGUAGCUGGGGCUGUGCUGACACUGAGACACGAAAGCCAGGGGAGCGAACGGG
rnacentral:rRNA from 1 species